rnacentral:lncRNA from 1 species
GUCGUUCUCAUCACCGGCAACUGCCACUGCCUGAACCUGUCUCUGCUUCGAGCAGAGGAGGACGAGCACGCCUGCUGGGCUGCCUCCCUCGCACGCGCAUGGUCCGGUUUCAGCCCAGUCCAGCAGCGCCCCGCGCCUGGGCCACUUUCCGCAAGCCAGCCCAGGAGGCCCAAUGUGAGCAGCGCAGUCCCAGCAGAUUCGGCCCGUUUCUAUUUUCUUCCUGUCCAGUGGAUUUAGCUAUUUUCCCAAAGAGUGCUAGUUUUGCAGAAUAGUCCCUAGGCAACAUGCAUAUAAUAACUCCGAAUUUGUGCAUCGGAUUAAAAUGAAUUAUAUAUGAAAAAUGCUUAGAAUUAUGUGUAGGUUAAUUAUAUGCCACUUUCAUCCAUGUUUAAAAUGUCUAAAAUGAUGUUUGUUUAAAUUUGCUCCUAUGUCAUGCUAAAAUGAUUUAUUUCAUAACUAAAUAACUGUGGCUCCGAUUUAAAUAAUCUUUAUAUGUAAAUGGGGUAGAAAAAUGCCUAGAUUUACUUGGUGCACUCAUCUUGCAUGUUUAACAACUUUAAAAUAAUGCUUAGGGCAGAACAGUACCAAACCUUAAAAUAUGCAUAUGGGGUUUUACCGGAAUUGUUGUCCUUUGUUUCCGGCCUCAUUUAAACUUGCCUAGAUAGGUAGUUUUCAUUUGCUUCACCCUCUUGCCAUGUUUAACAACAUUUAAUAUUGUUGAGUUCAUAAACGAGAUCGAACUAAAUAAGUCAUGUGGUGUUCCGUCAAUAUGCAACUCGUUGCAUAUUGAGCUCCACUUAAUUUGUAGAAUUGCUUGUGCAUUUUGCCAUGCCAUGCUUCAUUAAACCGGGUAUGCAUCAUACUUGAUUGUGCAUCAUGCCAUGCGUAUGUGAUGGUUGAUUACUUUGUUGUUUGGUUCUUUCCGGUGUUGCUUCUUCGGGUUGGUUCCGAGAACGUCGUGUUUGUGAGGAUCCGUUCGACUAUGUCCGUUUGCCUUCUUCAUGGACUCAUUCUUCUUCCUUGCGGGAUCUCAGGCAAGAUGACCAUACCCUCGAAAUCACUUCUAUCUUUGCUCGCUUAGUUGCUCGCUCUUUUGCUAUGCCUAUGCUACGAUACCUACCACUUGCUUAUCAUGCCACCCAUAUUGUUGAACCAAGCCUCUAACCCACCUUGUCCUAGCAAACCGUUGUUUGGCUAUGUUACCGCUUUGCUCAGCCCCUCUUAUAGUGUUGUUAGUUGCAGGUGAAGAUUGAAGUUUGUUCCUUGUUGGAACAUGGAGAUGUUGUUCCUUGUUGGAACAUGAUUAUUUUGUUGGGAUAUCACAAUAUCUAUUAUUUAAUUAAUGCAUCUAUAUACUUGGUAAAGGGUGGAAGGCUCGGCCUUAUGCCCAGUGUUUUGUUCCACUCUUGCCGCCCUAGUUUUCGUCAUAUCGGUGUUAUGUUCCUAGAUUUUUGCGUUCCUUACACGGUUGGGUCAUAAUGGGAACCCCUUGACAGUUCGCCUUCAAUAAAACUGCUCCAGCAAGGCCCAACCUUGGUUUUACCAUUUGCCACCUAGCCUUUUUCCCUUGGAGUCGCGCAUCCCGAGGGUCAUCUUUAUUUUAACCCCCCCCCGGGGGGCCAGUGCUUGUCUAAGUGUUGGUCCAAACUAGAGCCACUUGCGGCGCCACCUCGGGGAAACUUGAGGGCUGGUUAUAGCUGUACGUAGUGUUCAUCCGGUGUUGCCCUGAGAACGAGAUAUGUGCAGCUCCUAUCAGGAUGUUGGCGCAUCGGGCGGUCUUGCUGGACUUGUUUUACCAUUGUCGAGGAUGUCUUGUAACCGGGAUUCCGAGUCUGAUCGGGUCUUCCCGCUAGAAGGAAUAUCCUUCGUUCAUCGUGAGAGCUUGUGAUGGGCUAAGUUGGGACACCCCUGCAGGGUUAUGAUCUUUCGAAAGCCGUGCCCACGGUUAUGGGCAGAUGGGAAUUUGUUAACGUCCGAUUGUAGAAAACCUGAAGUUGACCUUAAUUAAAAUACAUCAACCCCGUGUGUAACCGUGAUGUUCUCUUCCGGCGGAGUCCGGGAAGUGAACUCGGUGUUGGAGUUAUGCUUGACGUAGGUUGUUCUAGGAUCACUUCUUGAUCAUACUUUUAUCGACCGUGCUUUGCCUUCUCUUCUCGCUCUCAUUUGCAUAUGUUAGCCACCAUAUAUGCUAAUCGCUUGCUGCAGCUCCACCUCAUACCUUUACCUUACCCAUAAGCUUAAAUAGUCUUGAUCGCAUGGGUGUGAGAUUGCUGAGUCCCCGUGACUCACAGAUACUUCCAAAACCAGUUUGCAGGUGCCGAUGUUUCUGAGCAGGUGACGCAAACAAGGUCAAGGAGGAGCUCAAUGAAGAUCUUGUCCUUUAUGUUGUUUCGUUUCGAGUUGAUCAGUAGUGGAGCCCAGUUGGGGUCGAUCGGGGAUCUGUGUAGCAUUUGGGGUAGUCUUCUUUUAUUUUGGGUUCCGUAGUCGGACCUUGAUUGUAUCUGGUUGAUGUAAUGCUUUAUUCAUUUAAUUGUGUGAAGUGGCAAUUGUAAGCCAUCUAUGUAUCUCUUUCCCUUAUGUAUUACAUGGGUUGUGUGAAGAUUACCUCACUUGCGACAUUGCUUUCAAUGCGGUUAUGCCUCUAAGUCAUGCUUCGACACGUGGGAGAUAUAGCCGCAUCGAGGGCGUUACAAGUUGGUAAUCAGAGCCUUCCCCGACCUUAGGAGCUCCCUGCUUGAUCGAAUAGCUGGCGUUGUUGAGUCUAGAAAAAUGUUUUGAGUCAUUUAGGAAUUAUAUAUUGGAGAGUUAGGAAUUCUUUUUACUCCUUAGUCCCUUCAUCGCUCUGGUAAGGCAUCCUGACGUAGAGUUUUGACUCUUCUCUUCUAAAAUUUCACUAUAUUUUUUUAGGAUCACGCGGGUAUCUUGGAAUCGUUCCGAUGGUUUUGUGACGAGAACAUUGUUCUUGGUGCCUCCUGUCAUUUAGGGGUUGUGGCAGUGUCCCGGGGAGUUGAGCUCCAAGGUGUUGUCGUCACAAUUUUAUCGUUGCAGUUCUAGAAUACCUGAGUUUAGUUUCACCGACAUCGAAAAUCUCUUUUAUGCAGUUGUUGGUGAGAUAACCUCGACGCCACCCAGUACUGGGGCGGGAGUUCGGGAGUAUUGCCAUAACUCGUAUAACGGAUGCUUUUCGAAGGUUGAGGUAGACGAUUUCCGAAGGUUUCUUGGUUAUGUGUUGAAGGAUGGAUACAGCUGGAUGUAGGAUUUGCUAGUAUUGGGUGAGAUAUUAUGCUUCCCCUGUAUCCCCAACACCUGAUUGCAUAACCGGAAAGUUUCGGGAGUUUAUAAGUGGGAAUUCAAGUAGCUCUUAGGAUAUCUUUCCGACAGAUGUAUGAUUUGAAAUUGGGGUUUGACGUCUAGUGGUCCGCCUAUUCACAGUUGGUUUUACAGUGGUCUUGUUGUGUCUUAAAGAGUCCUUGGCUAUGUCGACUCGAGGACGCUUCGUAUGUCAUGUGCACUGCCUUGUACAUGAUGGUGUUGUACGAUCGAGCCCGUGUAGGCCCCACCACGAAAAUUUCGGACGAAAUCUCUAUCAUAUGUUUGUUCCGGCUUAUUCUACAAGCCAAUCCUUUGUUUUUGGUUUUGAGUUAUGGUAUUCGAGUUGCUUCGAAGUCAAAUGUUGAUUCCAUAUCUUUCCUAAGCAGUGUUAUCAUACCCCGAUGUGAACACUAAUCCUUCUCAAUCAUCGAGUUUUUCAUGUCAAUCCUUUUUAAACCGGUGUGCUUCUCUUCAAGUGGAUCCGAUCAUUGCAACAUCCGCAAGAUCAAGUAUCAGUUCUUCUCAACGGUGUUUGUUUCAUCCGUCCCCAAGUUGCCUUUGUUUUCCCACCCACCUACCCUUUUUCUUCGAUGACUCAGAUUUCUUAAUCAAGUAUCCUUUUAUUAUUGUGAAGUCCCUCCAUUCCUUUUUCCGUCAAUGUUCUUACCCGGUGUUUUCCAUGAAGAUGGUCUACUAGCUCAUCUUUCAUCAUUCUUUUUCUUCUCCGGUGGAUUCAAUUCAAGCUUUUGGUGUUGAUCAUAUCCUUUCGUCGUUUCAGAAGUUUUAUCAUACCGGUGCUCAUCAUAUUCAUUCAUUUCUCGCUAUUCAAUUAUUCUAGAGUGCUGAAGAUAUCUCGGAAGCCUCGUCUUUUCCUUCAAGAUCCGUUCAAACCUAUUUCAAGGUUGUUAUCUCAUUCUAGCCGUUUAAUUCAACCGGUGCAUUCUCUCUUUUAAAUUGUUCUACGGUGUAUCUUUUGAGUGGGCCCUAACCCACAGGUCUUUUCCCCAGGAUCUUACCUGACUCUUCUAAUUUCCGGAGUUAUUCUCAUAUUCAUCUCAAAGUUUGACGUAAGAAUGAUUUAUCAUCAGUCAAAUGCCUUUCUCCAAGAUCGGUUAAAUUCUUUUCAUUGUUGGCUCAACCUUUUCCAUUCUUCAUUUCGGAGUGCCUCAACAAUUCUUGGUGGUGUUUCUCGUCGUCAUUCUCGGAUUUUGAAGACCGAAGAAGAAUUUUCUCUCUCUCAAUCUUGCUCUUUUCUCUUCAAGAUUCGUCAUUCUAGCUUUAUGCCAUUCUCUCAUAAUUAUUUUCGGUUGUGAGAAUUCUUUUCACCCAUCCAGAGCAAUUCAGGAGUCUUUUCAGUUUGAUUAUCCGGGCCCAUCAUCUCAGAGUUAUUCAUUCCAGCCUUCAGCUCUCAUACUCUAAAUCAUACCGCGGCUUAAAUCAAGGAUUCUCUAAUCAGCUCGUAAUCUCUGCGUUCUCAUGGAUCUAAAUUCUCUCAAGUAUCUUCGUUCUUUAUAAUUCUUCCCGGUGUUUCUUUAUCUUUACUUCAUUCAUUUCCAAUUCUUACGGUGGUUCAUUCAAGAUUUCUCUUUCGUAUCAAUUCAUUCGUACCGGUGGUUCGUUGAAGACCUUCCUCAAGUUUGCGCUAUAUCUAUCUUAAUCCUUUCUACGAGAAUAAGUAGUAGGCCAAAUCCAUUGCUUGUCAUCAAUCUAAAUUGGUGAAGGAUAAGCAUAACAUAAUUCUUAUUCUUGUUUCAUCCUAAUGAUUAAUUCUUUAUUCCGGAGGCUCAUCAAAUUCUCGGUUCGAGAUGCUUUAUCUAUUCUCUUCCCGGAGUUCCAAGCUUUCUCAAUUAUUUCAUUGCGAAGAUCCAUCUAAGCAUUGCAAGGCUUCACCUUGUGUUCUCUACUUAUCUUUCCUUUCAUUUGAUUAUUCUUUUGUUACCGGAAUUCUUCAUGGAGGCUCUACAUGAUGGUUCACCAAGGAUUUAAUUCCUUCUCGAAGUGUUCAUCAAGUUUCUUUUUAGACGAGUUCAAGCAUUCUUCAUCUUGCUAUCCAUCUAAGCAUUGCAAGGCUUCACCUUGUGUUCUCUACUUAUCUUUCCUUUCAUUUGAUUAUUCUUUUGUUACCGGAAUUCUUCAUGGAGGCUCUACAUGAUGGUUCACCAAGGAUUUAAUUCCUUCUCGAAGUGUUCAUCAAGUUUCUUUUCAGACGAGUUCAAGCAUUCUUCAUCUUGCUAUCCGGAGUGCAAUUCUUUCUUCCGUAUCAUUGGAGGUGGUAUUAUGUCAUUCUUGAUAAUUUGAGUUCAUGUUUCAUGAUUCACAUGUUGUUAAGAAUGAGAUAUUUUAAACCCAUCAAUCUCGUCAUUGGAGUUAUCUGGGGUUAUAGUUCACCUAAAGCCUUCCCUAAGGAUUGUUGCUAAUUAUGGUGCUUAUAAUGACCCAAGUUCUUCAUUUAUCCUCCCGGUGAAAUAAGUUUUCUCGUCUCCUUGGUCAUAUCAAUCCAAUUCUUUUCCCGUAAGUGGCAGGUUGUCACCUCAUAAUUUGAGAUGUAUUCCAUAAGACCAUAUCAAGCUUAUUCUUUUUGUUAUUGGUUUUUUUCCAACAACUCCGUUCUAGCAUUUGUUGUAAGCGUGCUCUCUCAAGAUCUUGGUUCCCUUCAUUCAUUCCAUUCCAUUCUUACUUUUGUUCCGGAGGCAUUGUGAUGUUGCUCUCUUCAACCCAUCUUCUUGUUUUAUCAGGAUCGUGUUCUUUUCGUGCAUAUCCUUUUAACCGGAGUAUUGUGCCCCUUUGUUCAAGUUCUUUUCGCCUUAUCAAGCCUUGCAUCUCUUUUCAACCGGAGUGCUGUCCGAAUUUGUUCUUCCUUAUUACUCUUCCCUACCGAAGUGCUUUCAACUUUGUUCUUCCUCGUUCCUCUUUCCUAACGGAGUGCUUUCAACUUCGUUCUUCUCCGUUGUAUUCUUUUCUCGAAAUGGCUUAACCUUUUCAAGGUUCUUUGGUUUCACUCAUUUGUCAAAGAAGCAACUUAGUUUUACCUCUUCUCUUUCUCUUCAGUUGUCCCUCUGGUGCCAUUCUAGAUCUCGGGACGAGAUCCUCUCAUAGUGGUGGAGUGUUGUAACGCCCCGAGUCUGAUGUCCCAGGUGUCUUCCAGUUAGUCGUUGUGUUGCCAUGUCAUUUGCUUGCGUGUUGCAUUUCAUCAUGUCAUCUUUUGCAUAGCAUCAUCAUGUUUUCAAAACUUGCAUUAGUCCGGGUCUCCCAUUCCCGUCCGUUGUCUGUUCUAAGCCCAGACCCACUUGCACGCGCCCGCGGCAUGUCCGAAAUAGUAUUUUAUAAGUGGCCGGAAAAUGUUCUCGGAAUGGGACGAGAGUUGACGUGCGGUCUUAUUAUAGUGUAGAUAGACCGCCUGUCAAGUUUCAUCGCAUUCGGAGUUCGUUUGAUAGCCCAACCGUUAAACUAUAGCGGCAUUAUAGCCGGUCUAACGUCGGACGUUUUCGGUCUCCAGAAACAGCCGUCGGGCCUCUUCUUCUCUUCUCUGCUCUCAGACCACCUAGUUCCCCCUCCGCUUUGGACCGCACGAUCGCGAUCCGAGGGUCCAAAACGGAGCAAACCCCUCUCCAAACACUAAUCCUAGCCCACCUACUAUAAAUAGACCACUUCCCCUUCCAAAUCGGGUCCAAACCUAGCCUAGCCCCUUCCCAAACCUCCAGCCGCCGCAUCAACCUCGAAGCCCGCGCCGACUAACCAGGUCCACCACCUCCUCCUCAUUUUCCGGUGCCCUCCACCUCACACCCGCCACUUGGCGCGCCCAGAUUGGCUCAGCCACCGCCCGCAGCCGCCCGUGGCCACUCGCAGGCGGCCACGUGGCCUCUCCUCGCUUUUCCCUGUCUCCCUGCGCCGUCGUGGCCCGCCAGGACCCGGAUCGGGCCCUGGGAAGCCGCCCAAGCCCAAGUCAUCGCCCGUUCGCUCCUCGCUGCACCUCCUCAAUCCGUUCUGGAUCGGGAGGGAGGCCGCCGCUCGAGCUCCCGCAAGACCGGCCACCGUAGCCCACCUCACCGCCGGCGACCCUUGCUGCCAAACGUCGCCCAGGUCGCGUCCCCGGCCGCCCCUCUCCUCCUAUCCUCCGUUUUCCCUUCCUCCUUCUCUUACAGCUCUCUCUCUGACCAUGGAUAGCGCCACCGCCCGGAGCUUCUCGCUACCGCCCAGCUUCCGUCGUGGCCCGGAUUCGCCGGAUCCGGCAAGCUGCCGUCCAGAUCCGCCCGUCUCCGCCAGUCCCUGACAUCGCUGGAGCCGCUUCCCACCGUGUCGUCAUUCUCAUCGCCGGCAACUGCCACUGCCUGAACCUGUCUCUGCUUCGAGCAGAGGAGGACGAGCGCGCCUACUGGGCUGCCUCCCUCGCACGCGCAUGGUCCGGUUUCAGCCCGGUCCAGCAACGCCCCGCGCCUGGGCCACUUUCCGCAAGCCGGCCCAGGAGGCCCAAUGUGAGCAGCCCAGUCCCGGCAGAUUCGGCCCGUUUCUAUUUUUUCCUGUCCAGCGGAUUUAGCUAUUUUCCCAAAGAGUGCUAGUUUUGCAGAAUAGUCCCUAGGCAACAUGCAUAUAAUAACUCUGAAUUGGUGCAUCGGAUUAAAAUGAAUUAUACAUGAAAAAUGCUUAGAAUUAUGUGUAGGUUAAUUAUAUGCCACUUUCAUCCAUGUUUAAAAUGUCUAAAAUGAUGUUUGUUUAAAUUUGCUCCUAUGUCAUGCUAAAAUGAUUUAUUUCAUAACUAAAUAACUGUAGCUCCGAUUUAAAUAAUCUUUAUAUGUAAAUGGGGUAGAAAAAUGCCUAGAUUUACUUGGUGCACUCAUCUUGCAUGUUUAACAACUUUAAAGUAAUGCUUAGGGCAGGACAGUACCAAACCUUAAAAUAUGCAUAUGGGGUUUUACUGGAAUUGUUGUCCUUUGUUUCCGGCCUCAUUUAAACUUGCCUAGAUAGGUAGUUUUCAUUUGCUUCACCCUCUUGCCAUGUUUAACAACAUUUAAUAUUGUUGAGUUCAUAAACGAGAUCGAACUAAAUAAGUC